rnacentral:tRNA from 1 species
AGGGGUGUCGGUUAAUGGUUAAACCACCGGUCUCCAAAACCGGGACUAGAGGUUCGAGUCCUCUCACCCCUGCCA